CAUGCCUGUAGUCCCAGCUACUAGGGAGGCUGAGGCAGGAGGAUCGCCUGGGUUCCAGUGAUUCUCCUGCCUCAGCCUCCCACGUAGGUGGGAUUACAGGUGCC
rnacentral:pre_miRNA from 2 species